GAUCACUGUUGCUGAGAUCUGUUCCUAUCUAACCCACCUCUGCAUCCCAGGUGCUGAGAAGAUGUGCGAUGUGCACAGCCCGGCCCUUGCACUUUGCAUCUCACCGCAUUCCUUGCAAGCUCACCACACAGACUCCACACAAGACCUUCGCUUGAGCGGAGUGGUUUGGAUGGGAUAUGCAGGAGCAACCCAGAAACUGGCCCUUGUCUCACCUCCUCCUUGGAACAGAAUCCAGGUUUCCUAGAGACCACAGCAAACACAAUGCACCAGCAGCAGCAGCCAGCGCCGAGCCAGGACGGUGACCCCACUGCCCUCCUGCUCCUGCUUCAACAUGCUAAGAAGAGCUUCUGUGCAUAUGGUACUGUCUCUGACUGUUAGAGAGGAUGGAAAAAUGUGCAUCUGGAUUCUUAGGAAGGAAGGAUUCUCUUUGAAGCUGCAGUGAA
rnacentral:lncRNA from 1 species